GACGAACGCUGGCGGCGUGCUUAACACAUGCAAGUCGAACGGUAAGGCCUUCGGGUACACGAGUGGCGAACGGGUGAGUAACACGUGGGUGAUCUGCCCUGCACUUUGGGAUAAGCCUGGGAAACUGGGUCUAAUACCGAAUAGGAUCACGCACCACAUGGUGGGUGGUGGACAGCUCUUGGGGUGUGGGAGAGGCCCGCGGCCUAUCGGCUUGGUGGUGGGGUAAGGGCCUACCAAGGCGACGACGGGUAGCCGGCCUGAGGGGGUGUCCGGCCACACUGGGACUGAGAUACGGCCCAGACUCCUACGGGAGGCAGCAGUGGGGAAUAUUGCACAAUGGGCGCAAGCCUGAUGCAGCGACGCCGCGUGAGGGAUGACGGCCUCCGGGUUGUAAACCUCUUUCAGUAGGGACGAAGCGCAAGUGACGGUACCUAUAGAAGAAGCACCGGCCAACUACGUGCCAGCCGCCGCGGUAA
rnacentral:rRNA from 1 species